rnacentral:lncRNA from 1 species
CGGCCUCGGGGCUCUGCUCUCCUACCUCAGUCUGCCCUACCCUGGAAUGGGGAAAAUGCGGACAUGCCACUCAGUCCGGCCGCGAACGGUGCUCCAGAACUCAGAGAGUUUUCCAGACGGGUGGAGAUCGCGUUCCCUGCCCGCCGAGGUCCCAUCGCUUCCCUGCUGGGAAGACAAAUGAGGCGCUUUAGCCGUCUCCACGGCCAGCCCCUCCCUCAUAACCCGAGAUUCUUUGUGGGCUCUUAGUCCAUAGCUGCCUUUGAGGUGGUGUAGACCUUGCUAACCAGGACGGCCCAGUAGGCAGAGCUCAUUUUUAUUCCUGUCUGCAAUCGUGCAAAAACGCCUCUUAUGGAAAAGGCAGAGCGCCAGGAGUCAGCAAAACACACUAAAGAUUGGGCAGUCACUGGGGAGAACUGCAAUUAACCUUUAAGAUACUACGUGUCAGGCCUCUGAGCCCAAACUAAGCCAUCAUAUCCCCUGUGACCUGCAUGUAUACAUACAGACGGCCUGAAGCAACUGAAGAUCCACAAAAGAAGUGAAAAUAGCCUUAACUGAUGACAUUCCACCAUUGAGAUUUGUUCCUGCCCCACCCUAACUGAUACGAUAUAUUCUCCCCCGCCCUUAAGAAGGUACUUUGUAAUAUUCUCCCUGCCCUUGAGAAUGUACUUUGUACGCCUAUCCCAAACCUAUAAGAACUAAUGAUAAUCCCACCACCCUUUGUUGACUCCUUUUUCAGACUCAGCCCGCCUGCACCCAGGUGAAAUAUACAGCCUUGUUGCUCACACAAAGCCUGUUUGGUGGUUUCUUCACAUGGAUGCAUGUGACAUUUGGUGCUGAAGACCCAGGACAGGAGGACUCCUUUGGGAGACCAGUCCCCUGUUAUCGCCCUCACUCCGUGAGGAGAUCCACCUAUGAUCUCAGGUCCUCAGACCAACCAGCCCAAGGAACAUCUCACCAAUUUCAAAUCGGGUAAGUGGUCUUUUCACUCUUCUCCAGCCUCUCUCGCUACCCUUCAAUCUUCCUCUCUCACUACCCUUCAAUCUCCCUGUCCUUCCAAUUCCCGUUCUUUUUCCUCUCUAGUAGAGAUAAGGAGACAUAUUUUAUCUGUGGACCCAAAACUCCAGCGUCAGUCACGGACUCGGGAAGACAGUCUUCCCUUGGUGUUUAAUCACUGUGGGGACGCCUGCCUGAUUAUUCACCCACACUCCACUGCUGUCUGAUCACCGAGGGGAUGCCUGCCUUGGUCAUUCACCCACAUUCCCUUGGUGACAAGUCAAUUGUGGGGACACCUGCUUUGGCUGCUCACCCACAUUGCAGCCCAGGGCUGCUCAAUGCCCCCCACUGCCCCACCCGCCUUCUCCGUGUCUCUACCCUCUCUUUUCUCGGGUUUACCUCCUUCACUAUGGGCAACCUUCCACCCUCCAUUCCUCCUUCUUCUCCCUUAGCCUGUGUUCUCAAAAACUUAAAACCUCUUCAACUCACAC